GCGCGGGUAAACGGCGGGAGUA
rnacentral:ncRNA from 2 species